rnacentral:lncRNA from 1 species
GAUUCAUAGGUCGAUCAUUCGUAAUAAUUGACUCUAAGGCUAUUAUUAAAACAGCAGAAAGAUUAAAUCUUGAAUUAUGUCUGGGGGGAAAUGGCCACUGUGCAGAUAGAUGUAUUGAUUUUUUUUUUUUUUUAGAGGAAUAAUGAAAUUCUGCCUAGAAUGCAUAAUUGAGUUUAUGGAUGGAUGAUACAGCAUGUUGGCUUCUUUAUAUGCAGAAGAUCAAAGCUACUUAGAAGGAGUGCCUACAAUUUGCCAUUAGCCACAAAUUAAGAUCUCAUCUUAUAUAUCAGCAGAGUAGCUUUAGAUUAGGGAAGAGGGUGGGAAAAUGGGAGGGGGGCU